CUCUUAUCCAGAGAGGUGGAGGGAUACGGCCCGGUGAAGCCCGGCAACCUGUGUAAAACACAAAGGUGCCAAUUCCAGCAAUUUAUAUUUGCAAGAUAAGAG
rnacentral:ncRNA from 1 species